AAUCCUAUAUAGUUUUGCAGUAAGGCAUCUGUUGUGAGAAAGCUUCCUUAGGACCAGGGCAUACAUGCUCCCUGGAGGAAGGGAAACCCCACUGGUAGCCAGGCCACCCUCCCUGCAGGCCAUGACUGGGGCCUCAGGUCUGGUUCAGAGGCCUGUCCUCAAUCCUCAGAAUGAUGGAAUGAAAUCAUCACAUGGCACAAUCUACUGUGGAUUUCUUUGUGGCUAGUCCAGACCAUCUGGAGCAGUUUCUGAGGAGACUACUUUGCUGUGGGUUGAAUCUUCAGCAAGUGUGUAUUAACACAUUUCCAGUGCAGUCUGCAGGGGUAUUACCAAAGGGAAUCCAAGGCCCUUUGACUAAAAAAUGUAAGCUGACCUGCAGUAUGCAAGUGCAGGGGGUCAACCAUUUGAUGUGGGAUAUAUCUUCAGGCCAUUCAAGUAGCUUCAUAGCUAAGUCUCAAAAUGCAACUUCCUGCAGUUGUGACCCAUGGACCUUUCAAGUGCAGUGGAAGACUUGAUAGAUCAAUCAUGCAGUUUCCAGGACUCUCAAGCAUCAUUUGCUUCUCAGCUGAUUUUCUGGUAGUUGAACCAGGACAAUCAUCCAACAUUUUUCUUGUGAAAUAGAGUGUGUUUUAUUAAAAUCAUAUUUUGUAAAAAUUUAAUAAAGCAGCUCAAACUUUUUCAAGGCUAGACAAUACUUUGAAAACUGCUUCCAAAUCCCUGGCCUCAAUAUAUGAAUACUAAUUGUAUCUUAUCUACUGUGGGUUAUUGAAAUCCCAACCAGUAGGAAAGCUAAUCUGACAUCUCCAUUCACAUACACCUUCUUUUGAGCCUCUUUACAAUUCAGUCAGUGUUAUCAAUGAUUAAA